rnacentral:pre_miRNA from 1 species
GAUAUACUCCCUCCGUCCGAAAAUACUUGUCAUCAAAAUAGAUAAAAAAGGAUGUAUCUAGAACUAAUAUACAUCUAGAUACAUCCCCUUUUAUUCAUUUUGAUGACAAGUAUUUCCGGACGGAGGGAGUAUGUA